AAAGGGCCUCACGGCUACCGCCCCCCCCAUCUGCGAUAAAAUGGAGGCCUGAAGCAUCCACCUGCAGUGGGUGAGGGUGCUCUCUCUCUUCUCCAGGUUGGUAGAGGAAAGCCCUAGAGCUGCCCCUCACUGCUCCUGCCCCCCUCACAGGCCCUGAAGGUGGGCCCGGCUCCCUCAGCAGCUGCCAGUGGCACCUAAGACUUCUAGAAAUGAUUGAAAUGAAGAUAGCUGACAGUGUUAUUGUCAACUGUAAAUAUUUCUACUGUUUGACCCCAGAGUUCAGUCUUGGAAGCAGUUGUGUGUGGAAGCAGUUUGGUGUUUCAGGAGUCUCAUUUUUUGAAUGCCUAACCUGAGACAAUCUGAGCAUGAUUUUUAGAAGAGCUAAAUAUCCACAGCAGAAAUCAUUUGGAGCUGUGAGUGCUCAGUGUCUUUGAAAGGUAAGGCUUGAGGGGGAGGGGAGGGGAGGGGAAGGGGUUGGGCCCCUCUGAAUCGAUUGCUAGUUAAAAAUGCUAAUGAUUUGUCUGAAAUUAUAGCAGACCAGGAGGUAGUGUCAAGACCAGACCCUGCACAUCCAGCUUUUCAAACAAAUGUCCCUAUUCCCAAAUCACAUUAUCUUCUGUGAUACUUAUUUUCUGGAACUACUUAACUGAGAAGUCACUAUGCUGCUCAAAAACAUUUUUAAAAGAAAUUUAAAAGUCCACCUUAAAAAAAAAAAAAAAAUUCUUAUCUCUGUUUAGAUUACUGGAACAGCAUUUCAAGAGCAAAUACGAACAGUUUGGUUACUUUGUCCUGUACUUGGCUUCAGGAUUAAAACUAGAUUAAUAUUUUCUGUUUGUUAUAGUUACUGUAAUUUUCCUCUUAUCAUUCCACUGAAGUGUUGGAAAGUAAUCGGGUUGCAUAUGUUGUGUGCAGCUGCUUGAGUUCAAAUUUCAGAAAGACAAUAGCAAUCUGAAUGUUUAACUUAGCCCUGAGAUUUUGACCUGGCAAAAAAGCUACCAAGUCUAAAAGAUAGAUUUGUACUGCCAUAACAGCCCCAUUAUGGGAAACUGGUCUAUCUACCUGAAUCAUGUAAAUUAAAAAUGUAUUCAGUUAUAGUUAAAAGAAGCAGCAGUAGUCCAACAGAAAUACAUACAUACACAUGAGAAGGAUAGUCAGAAGCCAUACAAAUUAGCAUAUAUUUUUUUUCUGAGGAUAAAAAUAGAUAACUUCUAUUUAGUACACAUACCAAAUCAAGGAAGCAAAUUUACUAUUGUUGAUACUAUACACUGUUUAUCCAGUGUUGGUAUCUGAACAGCAUUCCUGGAUUCCUACCACCUACAGAAAAUGGUUACAUGUUUUCCUAAACCACACCCA
rnacentral:lncRNA from 1 species